rnacentral:rRNA from 1 species
UUGGGAAAUUUUCCCCAAGGGGGGAAACCCUGAGGGAGCAAGCCCGCGUGCGGGAGGACGGCCUAUGGGUUGUAACCCCCUUUUGAUAGGGAAGAAGUUCUGACGGUACCUAUGGAAUCAGCAUCGGCUAACUCCGUGCCAGCAGCCGCGGUAAUACGGAGGAGGCAAGCGUUAUCCGGAAUUAUUGGGCGUAAAGCGUCCGUAGGUGGUUGUUCAAGUCUGCUGUUAAAGCCUGAGGCUUAACCGCAUUCCGGCAGUGGAAACUGCACGACUAGAGAGCGGUAGGGGUCAAGGGAAUUCCCAGUGUAGCGGUGAACAGUGUAGAGAUUGGAAGAUCACCGAUGGUCAACAAUCGGGAAUGUACC